rnacentral:rRNA from 1 species
CGGACCGGCGCACGGGUGAGUAACACGUAUGCAACCUGCCCUCUUCAGGGGGACAACCUUCCGAAAGGGAGGCUAAUCCCGCGUAUAUCGGUUUCGGGCAUCCGAGAUCGAGGAAAGAUUCAUCGGAAGAGGAUGGGCAUGCGGCGCAUUAGCUAGACGGCGGGGUAACGGCCCACCGUGGCGACGAUGCGUAGGGGUUCUGAGAGGAAGGUCUCCCACACUGGUACUGAGACACGGACCAGACUCCUACGGGAGGCAGCAG